GGGGGCGACAUGGCUUCGACGUGGAUCGCGAAACCGGAGGUGCAUGCCGAGGUGCGGAAUACCUCGUAAAACCAUCUGCAAAACUUAUAGUUGCCAACGAAGACAACUACGCACUAGCUGCUUAAAAACCAGCUUUAGUGCCCUCGGCCCGAUGUGUGCUUGUACGCUCGGUCAACCGGGGUCGACUCAUACAAGCUCGCGAUGACAUUUG
rnacentral:tmRNA from 1 species